rnacentral:rRNA from 1 species
AAACAUGUCUUAAUGCUUUAUUUUAUAUUAAGUCUAACCUGCUCAAUGAUUAUUUAAUUAAAUAGCCGCAGUAUUUUGACUGUGCGAAGGUAGCAUAAUCAUUUGUCUUUUAAUUGAAGGCUUGUAUGAAGGGUUGGAUGAGGGAUUGACUUUCUUUACGUUAUUUUUGUGAAUUUAAUUUUUAGGUUAAAAAGCUUAAAUUUAUAAAUGGGACGAGAAGACCCUAUAGAAUUUUAUUUAUGUUUGAAUAAUUUAUUUUAUUGGUUAUUUUAUUAUUUAUUUGGAUAUAUAUUUUGUUGGGGUGAUGAUAAGAUUUUUUUAACUCUUAUAAUUUAUUUUAUUAUUUAUUUUUAUAUUUAAGAUCCUAUUUUAUGGAUAAAUAGAUUAAAUUACCUUAGGGAUAACAGCGUAAUUUCUCUGGAGAGUUCUUAUCGAUAGAGAAGUUUGCGACCUCGAUGUUGGAUUAAAAUAAGAUUUAAGUGCAGAAGCUAA